rnacentral:rRNA from 1 species
CCUACGGGCGGCAGCAGUGAGGAAUAUUGGUCAAUGGUCGGAAGCCUGAACCAGCCAAGUAGCGUGCAGGAUGACGGCCCUACGGGUUGUAAACUGCUUUUAUACGGGAAUAACGCCCCUUACGUGUAGCGCGUUGCAUGUACCGUAUGAAUAAGGACCGGCUAAUUCCGUGCCAGCAGCCGCGGUAAUACGGAAGGUCCGGGCGUUAUCCGGAUUUAUUGGGUUUAAAGGGGGCGUAGGCCGCAUGUCAAGCGUGCUGUGAAAUGCCCGGGCUCAACCCGGGCCUUGCAGCGCGAACUGGCGUGCUUGAGUCCGCGGAAAGCAGGCGGAAUGCGUGGUGUAGCGGUGAAAUGCUUAGAUAUGACGAAGAACCCCGAUUGCGAAGGCAGCUUGCUGGAGCGGAACUGACGCUGAGGCUCGAAAGCGUGGGUAUCGAACAGGAUUAGAUACCCGGGUAGUC